rnacentral:rRNA from 1 species
UGGGGAAUUUUGGACAAUGGGCGAAAGCCUGAUCCAGCAAUGCCGCGUGUGUGAAGAAGGCCUUCGGGUUGUAAAGCACUUUUGUCCGGAAAGAAAUCCUUGGCUCUAAUACAGUCGGGGGAUGACGGUACCGGAAGAAUAAGCACCGGCUAACUACGUGCCAGCAGCCGCGGUAAUACGUAGGGUGCAAGCGUUAAUCGGAAUUACUGGGCGUAAAGCGUGCGCAGGCGGUUUGCUAAGACCGAUGUGAAAUCCCCGGGCUCAACCUGGGAACUGCAUUGGUGACUGGCAGGCUAGAGUAUGGCAGAGGGGGGUAGAAUUCCACGUGUAGCAGUGAAAUGCGUAGAGAUGUGGAGGAAUACCGAUGGCGAAGGCAGCCCCCCUGGGGCCAAUACUGACGCUCAUGCACGAAAGCGUGGGGAGCAAACAGGAUUAGAUACCCUGGUAGUCCACGCCCUAAACGAUGUCAACUAGUUGUUGGGGAUUCAUUUCCUUAGUAACGUAGCUAACGCGUGAAGUUGACCGCCUGGGGAGUACGGUCGCAAGAUUAAAACUCAAUGAAUUGACGGGGUCAUAGCUGUUU